AGAGUUUGAUCAUGGCUCAGAUUGAACGCUGGCGGCAGGCCUAACACAUGCAAGUCGAGCGAGAAAGCACUUCGGUGCGAGUAGAGCGGCGGACGGGUGAGUAACGCGUAGGAAUCUACCUGGUGGUGGGGGACAACUCGGGGAAACUCGAGCUAAUACCGCGUACGCCCUUCGGGGGAAAGCGGGGGAUCUUCGGACCUCGCGCUAUUGGAUGAGCCUGCGUCGGAUUAGCUUGUUGGUGAGGUAAAAGCUCACCAAGGCGACGAUCCGUAGCUGGUCUGAGAGGAUGAUCAGCCACACUGGGACUGAGACACGGCCCAGACUCCUACGGGAGGCAGCAGUGGGGAAUAUUGCGCAAUGGGGGCAACCCUGACGCAGCCAUGCCGCGUGUGUGAAGAAGGCCUUAGGGUUGUAAAGCACUUUCAAUUGGGAAGAAAAGCUUGUCGUUAAUAGCGGCAAGCCCUAACAUUACCUUUAGAAGAAGCACCGGCUAACUCCGUGCCAGCAGCCGCGGUAAUACGGAGGGUGCGAGCGUUAAUCGGAAUUACUGGGCGUAAAGCGCGCGUAGGUGGUUUGUUAAGUCAGCUGUGAAAGCCCCGGGCUCAACCUGGGAAUUGCAGUUGAUACUGGCCGACUAGAGUACGAGAGAGGGAGGUAGAAUUCCAUGUGUAGCGGUGAAAUGCGUAGAUAUAUGGAGGAAUACCAGUGGCGAAGGCGGCCUCCUGGCUCGAUACUGACACUGAGGUGCGAAAGCGUGGGUAGCAACAGGAUUANAUACCCUGGNAGUCCACGCCGUAAACGAUGUCUACUAGCCGUNGGNAG
rnacentral:rRNA from 1 species